AUUCUAGAGUUUGAUCAUGGCUCAGGACGAACGCUGGCGGCGUGCCUAAUACAUGCAAGUCGAACGAACUCUGGUAUUGAUUGGUGCUUGCAUCAUGAUUUACAUUUGAGUGAGUGGCGAACUGGUGAGUAACACGUGGGAAACCUGCCCAGAAGCGGGGGAUAACACCUGGAAACAGAUGCUAAUACCGCAUAACAACUUGGACCGCAUGGUCCGAGCUUGAAAGAUGGCUUCGGCUAUCACUUUUGGAUGGUCCCGCGGCGUAUUAGCUAGAUGGUGGGGUAACGGCUCACCAUGGCAAUGAUACGUAGCCGACCUGAGAGGGUAAUCGGCCACAUUGGGACUGAGACACGGCCCAAACUCCUACGGGAGGCAGCAGUAGGGAAUCUUCCACAAUGGACGAAAGUCUGAUGGAGCAACGCCGCGUGAGUGAAGAAGGGUUUCGGCUCGUAAAACUCUGUUGUUAAAGAAGAACAUAUCUGAGAGUAACUGUUCAGGUAUUGACGGUAUUUAACCAGAAAGCCACGGCUAACUACGUGCCAGCAGCCGCGGUAAUACGUAGGUGGCAAGCGUUGUCCGGGAUUUAUUGGGCGUAAAGCGAGCGCAGGCGGUUUUUUAAGUCUGAUGUGAAAGCCUUCGGCUCAACCGAAGAAGUGCAUCGGAAACUGGGAAACUUGAGUGCAGAAGAGGACAGUGGAACUCCAUGUGUAGCGGUGAAAUGCGUAGAUAUAUGGAAGAACACCAGUGGCGAAGGCGGCUGUCUGGUCUGUAACUGACGCUGAGGCUCGAAAGUAUGGGUAGCAAACAGGAUUAGAUACCCUGGUAGUCCAUACCGUAAACGAUGAAUGCUAAGUGUUGGAGGGUUUCCGCCCUUCAGUGCUGCAGCUAACGCAUUAAGCAUUCCGCCUGGGGAGUACGGCCGCAAGGCUGAAACUCAAAGGAAUUGACGGGGGCCCGCACAAGCGGUGGAGCAUGUGGUUUAAUUCGAAGCUACGCGAAGAACCUUACCAGGUCUUGACAUACUAUGCAAAUCUAAGAGAUUAGACGUUCCCUUCGGGGACAUGGAUACAGGUGGUGCAUGGUUGUCGUCAGCUCGUGUCGUGAGAUGUUGGGUUAAGUCCCGCAACGAGCGCAACCCUUAUUAUCAGUUGCCAGCAUUAAGUUGGGCACUCUGGUGAGACUGCCGGUGACAAACCGGAGGAAGGUGGGGAUGACGUCAAAUCAUCAUGCCCCUUAUGACCUGGGCUACACACGUGCUACAAUGGAUGGUACAACGAGUUGCGAACUCGCGAGAGUAAGCUAAUCUCUUAAAGCCAUUCUCAGUUCGGAUUGUAGGCUGCAACUCGCCUACAUGAAGUCGGAAUCGCUAGUAAUCGCGGAUCAGCAUGCCGCGGUGAAUACGUUCCCGGGCCUUGUACACACCGCCCGUCACACGGUACCAU
rnacentral:rRNA from 2 species